rfam:Oryza rufipogon genomic scaffold, chr11
AAAAAAAAAAACCCCGAGUUUCCGUGCUCAAUGUUUCACCGUCCAUUUUGUUUGAAAAAAGUUAUGAAAAAAAUUAAAAAGACAAGUCACACAUAAAGUAUCAUGUUUUAACAUCUAACAACAAUAAAAAUACUAAUUAUAAAAAAAAUUUAUAUACGACGGACAGUCAAACGUUGGACACGGAAACUUAAGGUUUGUCUUUUU